rnacentral:tRNA from 1 species
GGAGGGGUGACAGAGUGGUCUAAUGUGGUGGUUUUGAAAACCAUUAAAUUUUUAAUAAUUUCAAGGGUUCGAACCCCUUCCCCUCUU